ACGUCAAAAAUCUACAGAUACAAGAUAUGGUAGUUAUGCUGAUAUACUUACGUUUUUUUAAGAAUUUGAAUGUUUUGGUUUAAUUUAUUUCUUUAAUUUAUACAAAUAAAAUUUCCAUCGAUACACUUUUAUUAGAAAAUGUUAAACUAUUUUUUAUCUAAUGAGGGUGUAAGUUCAAGAACAUUUACUCCUUUGGAGUGUUUUGCAAGUCAAAAUGAAGGUAAAAACUCUACAGAUAUUAGAUAUGGUAGUUUGGCAUUCGUCAACUUAUUUUUUUGAAUAGAUUAGUUAGUGUAAUAUAUAUUUUUUAUUUAUACAGAUAAAAUUUCUUAGAUACAGUUAAAUGCGAAAAUGUUGAACUCUUUUUAUUUAAUCAAGGUGCAAAUUCCAGUACAUUAACUCCUUCGGAGUGUUUUGUAAGUCAAAUUGAUGCUCAACAAUCACCAGAUAAUAGAUAUGACGUAGAAACAAGAAGCAGAGGUACAAACAAGAAAGAAGGAAAAAUUUACCAACCUGAAAUUGUACCAGAAUGAAAAUAUCAUAAAUGGGUUUUGAAUGAAGAGACACAACUAAUACAACACUUUCAAAGUUAUAUUAAUGAAAACAAAAUGCCUGACAAAAAAGAAAUUCUUCAGUUUUUGGAGGAGAAAAUGAUAGACGUUCAAUAUAAAACUGCAAGAACAAAAUUAACGAACAAAAGAACUAAAAUUCUGAACAAUAAAAAUCGUCUUUUGAAGGAUUUAAA